CGGGUUGUGGCGCAGCCUGGUAGCGCGCUUGCAUGGGGUGCAAGAGGCCGGGAGUUCGAAUCUCCCCAGCCCGACCA
rnacentral:tRNA from 1 species